rnacentral:rRNA from 1 species
CUACGGGACGCUCCAGGGAAGAAUAUUGUACAAUGGGGGCAACCCUGAUACAGCAACGCCGCGUGAAGGAAGAAGGCCUUCGGGUUGUAAACUUCUGUGACAGAGGACGAAGAAGAUGACGGUACUCUGAGAGGAAGCUCCGGCAAACUACGUGCCAGCAGCCGCGGUGAAUACGUAGGGGGCGAGCGUUGUCCGGAAUCACUGGGCGUAAAGGGCGCGUAGGCGGCCAUAUAAGUUGAAUGUGAAAUCCCAGGGCUCAACCCUGGACGUGCAUUCAAAACUGUUUGGCUUGAGUAUGGUAGAGGAAAGUGGAAUUCCUAGUGUAGCGGUGGAAUGCGUAGAUAUUAGGAGGAACACCAGUGGCGAAGGCGACUUUCUGGGCCAAAACUGACGCUGAGGCGCGAAAGCGUGGGGAGCAAACAGGAUUAGAUACCCUUGUAGUC